rnacentral:rRNA from 1 species
CUCUCGGCAACGGAUAUCUCGGCUCUCGCAUCGAUGAAGAACGUAGCGAAAUGCGAUACUUGGUGUGAAUUGCAGAAUCCCGUGAAUCAUCGAGUCUUUGAACGCAAGUUGCGCCCGACGCCAUUCGGCCGAGGGCACGUCUGCCUGGGUGUCACGCAUUGUUGC